rnacentral:tRNA from 1 species
GGCGCUGUAGCACAGUGGGUCAAAGCCCUGGCCUGAAGAGCCGGCAUCCCAUAUGCACGCAGGUUCUAGUCCUGGCGGCUCCU